UGCACUGCAGCUGAAAGGCACCAAGAGCUGCAAGUCUUAUGCCCAAGAGGACAGCAAGGAAUCGGAAACCUGAGUUCUGCUUUUCUCACGUGAAUCUGCAGGAAACAACCAAGCUGGGCAACAAAACAAGUCAGAAACCAAAACCUGGCCAAGCAACCAAAGCAGAGCAUGAUGAACAAAGGAAGUAUUUAGCAAGGCUGAUGAAAACCAGCAGAGGAGCAGUGCAAGCUGCAGGUGGGUCCACAG
rnacentral:lncRNA from 1 species